rnacentral:rRNA from 1 species
CACACGUGCUACAAUGGCAUAUACAAAGAGAAGCGACCUCGCGAGAGCAAGCGGACCUCAUAAAGUAUGUCGUAGUCCGGAUUGGAGUCUGCAACUCGACUCCAUGAAGUCGGAAUCGCUAGUAAUCGUAGAUCAGAAUGCUACGGUGAAUACGUUCCCGGGCCUUGUACACACCGCCCGUCACACCAUGGGAGUGGGUUGCAAAAGAAGUAGGUAGCUUAACCUUCGGGAGGGCGCUUACCACUUUGUGAUUCAUGACUGGGGUGAAGUCGUAACAAGGUAACCGUAGGGGAACCUGCGGUUGGAUCACCUCCUUACCUUAAAGAA